GGGAAGCAGCAGAUUCACCCCCCCUCCCUCUGAUAGCUAGGGGAGGGGGCGGGAAGCAAAUUCACACACCCCCAGCUACCAAGUAAAGGAGGGGGAAAGAAAUAUCCAAGGGGAAAUCCGAACCAGGUGACUUUUCAAGUUAAAUGGGGAACCCAAGGCAACGUUCCUGUAUCGAUUACGUCACUGCAAGGGAAUGGAUGCACUGGCUUUCUGGAUGGGAAGCACCACUGAUGCUUCCAGCCGCCUCUGAUGCAGAUAGAACCCUCCACUUCAAGAUGAAAAUAAAGGAGGGAGCUAAAUAAUCUAAUAAAGGAGGGGGCACAAUG